rnacentral:lncRNA from 1 species
GCGAGGUUGAGAAACACCUCCCCACACCUCCCCUGACCCCCCCGAAUUCGGAAGGACGGGAAAUCCUGGGAGUUUCCUUGAGCGGAGCGUAGGAGGUGCCCCGCCCCGCCUGGUGUCUCCUGGGAUGUAAGGAGGGAAGCGGUGGUCCAGCUGGGCUGGCCUGUGGGGCUGCGACCCACUCCGGCGCAGUGAGCUCAGCGCGCGAGGGAGGGACCUCGCUGCCGCGAACCUGGGGGGUGUGGAAAGGUCACUUCCAGAAGCCAGCCGUUGGGAGGAGAGAGGAAAAAGCUCCGAGCAGUGCAUGUGGAGGGGGUGUGCGCGUGCAAGUCGGGUUGUACGUGUCGUUAGAAGGCAUGCGUGUGUAAGAACGGGUGUAGAGAGGUGCGCGUGUGAGGAGGCGAACGUGCGCGGGGAUACUUGUGGGCGUGUGGAGAUGUGUGGGAGAGAUGUGAAGAUGUGAUUUACACAGGUGCGGACGAAGGCAUGUGCGAGUGGUGACCUGGAGAUGCGUUCGAGUGUGGAGACUCACUGAGAAGCCCGUGGGCGAUGGGCGCGUGUGCACGUGGAGAUUUAUUAAUAUGUAUGCGCGCGCAUGUGGUGCGUGCGUGCGUGGGGGGGGGUGCGUGCAUUGGGUGGUGCGUGCGUGGUGGGGACGCAAGAGCGGGAAGGCAGGCAGACGGAGCGGAACGCGGGAGCCGGGAUGCACAUAUACCGGUUCGAAAAUCAAGAAAACGGAAACUGUUGACCAAUUGACCAUCUCGUUUAAAAAAAUGCCCGUGGUUUGCAUGUAAGCACAAAGGGUUCAUGGACUCACUAACGGUCAUCUGUAGACCCUUGAUUAUGGUUUAAAAAGGGGAGAAAACCCAAAUACAGUACGGUGAUAUCCGCCAUUAUGUCUUUUGAUUCUGUGAGAGAAGAAAUGGAACAGCAGCUGUCCCC